GCCAGCAUGGCAUAGUGGUUUGUGUGUUGGACUAGGACUCUGGAGGCCAGGGUUUGAAUUCCAGCUCAGCCA